rnacentral:lncRNA from 1 species
AUGUGUUGACGUAACCCUUUCGGUUCUUUCAUCUUAAUCACUUCCUUCAUCUCUGGUUUCAGACCAUUGAAGAACACAUGAACCAAAUUUUUUUCAUCCACUCCUGUAACCAUUGAACGCAACUCUUCAAAUUCAUUGAUGUAGUCUGUGAUAGAACCCCUCUGUGUAAUGGAGAACAGUCUCUUCCCUGGUUCAUCCUCCAUUCGCUGAGUAAACCGCAGAACCAAUCUCUCCUUAAAAUCCUCCCAACUGACAAACGGAUCUUCCUCCAGCUCAAUGUUAAACCAGUUCAGUACAGUCCCCUCAAAACGCACAGAUAACAAAUCAAAUCACUCUCGUUCUGUAAAGUUCCCCAAACGAAAGAACCUUUCAGCUCUGUUGAUCCAUACGUUUGGAUUUG